UACAACAUGGAGAGUUUGACUAUGGCUCAGGAUGAAUGCUUGCGGUAUGCCUAACACAUGCAUGUCGAACGAACUUUGGUUAGUGGCGAAUGGGUGAGUAACAUGUAAGAAUCUACCCCUUGAUCAGGGAUACCCCAUGGAAACGUGGGUUAAUACCAGAUAAGCUGAAAAGUUAAAGAGUUUUCGUCAAGGGAUGAGCUUGCACCUGAUUAGCUUGUUGGUGAGGUAAAAGCUUACCAAGGCUAUUAUCAGUAGCUGGUUUGAGAGGAUGAUCAGCCACACUAGGACUGAGACACGGCCUAGACAUCUACGGAUGGCAGCAGUGGGGAAUUUUUUGCAAUGAGCGAAAGCUUGACAAAGCAAUACCGCGUGAAAUAUGAAGGCCUUUGGGUUGUAAAUUUCUUUUCUCAAGGAAUAAUUUUGAAGGUACUUGAGGAAUAACUACCGGCUAACUCUGUGCCAGCAGCCGCGGUAAUACAGGGGGUAGAAGCAUUAUCCGGAUUUAUUGGGUGUAAAGCACCUGUAGGUUGCUGUAAAAGUUCAAUGUUAAAUAUUAGAGCGUAACUUUGGUAUGGCAUUGAAAACUAUGCGGCUAGAGUGUGGGAGAGGUAAAUGGAAUUCUUGGUGUAGCGGUGAAAUGCGUAGAUAUUAGGAAGAAUACCAAUGGCGAAAGCAAUUUACUGGACCAAUUUCACUGACACUGAGAGGUGAAAGCUAAGGGAGCGAACGGGAUUAGAUACCCCGGUAGUCUUAGCUGUAAACGAUGGAUACUAAGUGGUGGGUUAUCUCACUAUUGUAGCUAACGCGUUAAGUAUCCCACCUGGGGAGUACGCACGCAAGUGUGAAACUCAAAUAGAUUGACGGGGAUCUGCACAAGCAGUGGAUCAUGUGGUUUAAUUCGAUGCAACCCGAUGAACCUUACCAGGAUUUGCAUAAAGAGGAAGUUUUAGAGAUAGAAUGUGCCCGUAAGGGAACCUCUUUACAGGUGGUGCAUGGUUGUCGUCAGCUCGUGUCGUAAGAUGUGCAGUUAAGUCGGUAAACGAGCGCAACCCUUGUCUUUAGUUGCUUUUCUAAAGAGACUGCCAGUGAUAAGCUGUGAGGAAGGAGAGGAUGACGUCAAAUCAGCAUGCCCCUUACAUCCUGGGCUACACACGUGAUACAAUGAUAAGGACAAAGAGUUGCAAUCUUGCAAAAGUCAGCUAACCUCAAAAACCUUGUCUUAGUUCAGAUUGUAGGCUGAAACUCGCCUGCAUGAAGUUGGAAUUGCUAGUAAUCGCUGGUCAGAAUACAGCGGUGAAUCCGUUCCCAGAUCUUGUUCACACCGCCCGUCACACUAUGGAAGCUGGAAACGCCCAAAAUUAUUACCUUAACCUUUUUGGAUGGGGAUACCUAAGGCAGGGCUAGUAACUGGAGUGAAGUCGUAACAAGGUAGCCGUACUGGAAGGUGUGGCUGGAUCACCUCC
rnacentral:rRNA from 1 species